GGCUCAGAACGAACGCUGGCGGCGUGCCUAAUACAUGCAAGUCGAGCGGGGUGGAGGGUCGCAAGACCCAAAGCCUAGCGGCGGACGGGUGAGUAACACGUAGGCAACCUGCCUGUAAGACCGGGAUAACUUCGGGAAACCGAAGCUAAUACCGGAUAACUCUUAAGACCGCAUGGUCUUAAGCUAAAAGGACGCGAUCCACUUACAGAUGGGCCUGCGGCGCAUUAGCUAGUUGGUGAGGUAACGGCUCACCAAGGCGACGAUGCGUAGCCGACCUGAGAGGGUGACCGGCCACACUGGGACUGAGACACGGCCCAGACUCCUACGGGAGGCAGCAGUGGGA
rnacentral:rRNA from 1 species